rnacentral:rRNA from 1 species
AGUGAAGCGGCAACAGCUCAAAUUUGAAAUCUGGCUCUCGGGCCCGAGUUGUAAUUUGUAGAGGAUACUUUUGAUGCGGUGCCUUCCGAGUUCCCUGGAACGGGACGCCAUAGAGGGUGAGAGCCCCGUCUGGUUGGAUGCCAAAUCUCUGUAAAGUUCCUUCGACGAGUCGAGUAGUUUGGGAAUGCUGCUCUAAAUGGGAGGUAUAUGUCUUCUAAAGCUAAAUACCGGCCAGAGACCGAUAGCGCACAAGUAGAGUGAUCGAAAGAUGAAAAGCACUUUGAAAAGAGAGUUAAAAAGUACGUGAAAUUGUUGAAAGGGAAGCGUUUAUGACCAGACUUGGGCUUGGUUAAUCAUCUGGGGUUCUCCCCAGUGCACUUUUCCAGUCCAGGCCAGCAUCAGUUUUCCCCGGGGGAUAAAGACUUCGGGAAUGUGGCUCUCUUCGGGGAGUGUUAUAGCCCGUUGUGUAAUACCCUGGGGGGGACUGAGGUUCGCGCAUCUGCAAGGAUGCUGGCGUAAUGGUCAUCAACGACCCGUCUUGAAACACGGACCAAGGAGUCGUCUUCGUAUGCGAGUGUUCGGGUGUCAAACCCCUACGCGUAAUGAAAGUGAACGCAGGUGAGAGCUUCGGCGCAUCAUCGACCGAUCCUGAUGUUCUCGG